rnacentral:rRNA from 1 species
CUCCGGUGAUCCUGCCGGACCUGACUGCUAUCGGAUUGGUACUAAGCCAUGCGAGUCGUUGUAGCAAUACAAGGCGGACGGCUCAGUAACACGUAGUCAACCUAACCUAUGGACGUGGAUAACCUCGGGAAACUGAGAAUAAACCGCGAUAGAUCAUUAUGCCUGGAAUGGCUUAUGGUUCAAACAAUUUAUUGCCGUAGGAUGGGACUGCGGCCUAUCAGCUUGUUGGUGAGGUAAUGGCCCACCAAGGCUAUAACAGGUACGGGCUCUGAGAGGAGAAGCCCGGAGAUGGGUACUGAGACACGGACCCAGGCCCUAUGGGGCGCAGCAGGCGAGAAACCUUAGCAAUGUGCGAAAGCACGACUAGGUUAAUCCGAGUGAUUUCUGUUGAAGAAAUCUUUUGUCAGUCGUAAAACCACAGACGAAUAAGGGGUGGGCAAGUCUGGUGUCAGCCGCCGCGGUAAUACCAGCACCUCGAGUGGUCAGGAGGUUUAUUGGGCCUAAAGCAUCCGUAGCCGGCUACGCAAGUCUCCGGUUAAAUCCAGCUGCUCAACAGAUGGGCUGCCGGAGAUACUACAUAGCUAGGGAGCGGGAGAGGUAGACGGUAUUCUGUGGGUAGGGGUAAAAUCCACUGAUCCAUAGAGGACCACCAGUGGCGAAGGCGGUCUACCAGAACGCGUUCGACGGUGAGGGAUGAAAGCUGGGGGAGCAAACCGGAUUAGAUACCCGGGUAGUCCCAGCUGUAAACGAUGCAAACUCGGUGAUGCAUUGGCUUAUGGCCAAUGCAGUGCCGCAGGGAAGCCGUUAAGUUUGCCGCCUGGGAAGUACGGACGCAAGUCUGAAACUUAAAGGAAUUGGCGGGGGAGCA